UAAAAAAUAAAAAUAAAAAUAAUAAUUCUAAGCUACCGCCCGUCAGAGCCACCAAGCCCACCACAGGCCACAUUUGCAGAGAGGACAGGAAGAGAAAAAAAAUGGAAAAGGGAGGGAGAAAGAGGGAAAGCUGGACUGCAUGGUAUUAUCUUAACAUUCUAUGGCUUGAUGCCCAAAAAAAUCUUGCAGCUGAGGAGGAGGACUCAGUGGUGUGCAUUGUGCAACGUAAAGCUCUGCGAAAACAUUUUGGCCCAGUACGAGAUGAAUGCAUCGAAUCCAUGGACAAAAUGGGGGAAACAACAGCGGUAGAAGGAAAGGAGAGUGCUCCCGACAGUUUAACAAGCAAAUCUAUUUAUUUACCUGCUUUAAAAUUGUAAAUAUAUGGGAUGCAUCAUGGGUUUGCUCAUACUACAAUACAUUUUAGAAUCCGAAUCAUCUUGAUCAGCCAAGUAUGUUAAAACACACAUGGAAUUUGUCUCCGGUAGUUGGAGCCACUCUAGUAUAACAACAAACAGCCAAUCUGACAAAAAAAAAUAAAUACAAGUAUGGAGAGUCACUGAGCAAUGGAAGGAUACCAGUGAUGUGGUAACGCUGAUACAAUGACAAUUGUCCAGAUGAUGUAGAGUCGUCAAGUAAUUUAAAGCAAUUUAAAGUGACUACUAGUGCGAUAAUUUCCCCAGAUUUUCCCAUUUUGGGGCUAAUUUUCCUGGGUUUGGAUCUUCUUCCAUUGUAAGGAAACAUAGUGCAUCACAACAAGGACACCGUAGCCACACUUUGCAUCGGGCUUUUCUUCUACUGGAACUGUGCACUUCAAUCAAUUUGGUAAAAAAAUAAAAUAAAAAAGCAUGGUCUGUUUUGGACGCAAAUCCUCAAGAUUGUCUUCUGGAAGAUCAAGCGUGAAUGUGACACCAAGACUCAAGAAAACAACAACGGCACCAGGAUGAAAAUAAAGUUUUGAGAUGACCCGGCCAGAGCCCAGACCUAAAUCUAAAGAAAAAUCAUUGGGAUGACCUGUGCAGGUAAUCUUACAGAUUUCGAGCUUUUGGGAGAAUAUUGCCGAAUCUAGACAAUCACUCCUACCCAAAAAGACUUAAAAUGCUGCGAUUAAAGCCAAAGGGCAGCUCUUUUUCUUUUUCUUGAAAGUAUUUAUGUUACAAUGUAACUCGGGGUGUGUUCACUUGCCAAAGGCACGAUAGUACAACACAAACGCUUGUCACUGUAUCACAAUUUCAUUCCAAAAAAAUUGAAUGAAAAAAAUACAUAAAUAAAAGAGCACAUUGUGUUGCUGUUUGGAGGAUAGUGACAGCAAAUAUGAGCACAAAGAGGAGCGGGUGCAAUGGAGGCCAGCUACAUCUGCUCCAUGAAAACCGAGGCCCCCCUCCUACAGAAGAAGAGGAGGAGGAGGAGGGAUCAUACAGCAGCUACCUAUUAUAAUACAAUAUGUGACAUUUUUGAAGGCAAUUAGAUGCUAUCGCGUGUCCAUUCCCGUUCCCACCAAGCCUGCGCGAUGUGACCGACCUUUGUGGCUCGAUCAGACUUGAGCCGGCAAAUCGCGGAUGUGCUCACGGCGGAGAUGUGAAGAGUUGCGAGAGGCGCAGGCGACGCUUUCAAGGCUGCCUGCCCGUCGUCACAAUGGUGCGGCCAUCGCACUGGCCUCGGUGUUAUUUUCCCAGCACAAUUUCAAGUCUGCAUUUGGCGUGAUUUCUUGUUUUAAAAACGCAUAACGCGGUGAGGCGUUUUGCUGAAUGAUGUGUGGCUUGCUGUCCCGUGUGUUUGUGCGUGAGAGCGCAGCCCAGCCCUACCGUCGCUGCCGCAGUAACGUCUGGCUCCGGCCUCCUCGUUUUCCACUCGCGGUUGCUCCUCGCUGGCGAGCCGGCAGCGGCCACAGAGGGCGACCAGGAGAUGUCAACACAUUUUGAGAAAGAGUCCGGAUGUGGUGUUUCAAAAUAAAAGCGAUCUAAGCGCAACAGCACAAA